rnacentral:rRNA from 1 species
GGUUUGAUUAUGGCUCAGAUUGAACGCUGGCGGGAUGCUUUACAUGCAAAGUCGAACGGCAGCACGGACUUCGGUCUGGUGGCGAGUGGCGAACGGGUGAGUAAUGUAUCGGAACGUGCCUAGUAGCGGGGGAUAACUACGCGAAAGCGUAGCUAAUACCACAUACGCCCUUGAGGAAAAGCGGGGACCUUCGGGCCUCGCACUAUUGAAGCGGCCGAUAUCGGAUUAGCUAGUUGGUGGGGUAACGGCUCACCAAGGCGACGAUCCGUAGCUGGUUUGAGAGGACGACCAGCCACACUGGGACUGAGACACGGCCCAGACUCCUGCUGAGGAGAGGCAGCAGUGGGGAAUUUUGGACAAUGAGGAAACCCUGAGUCCAGCCAUCCCGCGUGUGCGAUGAAGGCCUUCGGGUUGUAAGCACUUUUGGCAGGAAAGGAAACGGCACGGGAUAAUACCCCGUGCAACUGACAAUGCACCGUGCAGAAUAAGCACCGGCUAACUACGUGCCAGCAGCCGCGGUAAUACGUAGAGGUGCAAGCGUUAAUCAGGUUGCUGGGCGUAAAGCGUGCGCAGGCGGUUCGGAAAGAAAAGAUGUGAAAUCCCAGAGCUUAACUUUGGAACUGCAUUUUUAACUACCGAGCUAGAGUGUGUCAGAGGAGGUGGAAUUUCACCCGUGUAGCAGUGAAAUGCGUAGAUAUGCGGAGGGAACACCGAUGGCGGCAGCCUCCUGGGAUAACACUGACGCUCAUGCACGAAAGCUGUUAAGAACCAAACAGGAUUAGAUACCUGGUAGUCCACGCCUAAACGAUGUCAACUAGCUGUUGGGGCCUUCGGGCCUUGGUAGAGGCGCAGCUAACGCGUGAAGUUGACCGCCUGGGAAGUACGGUCACCAAGAUUAAAACUCAAAGGAAUUGACGGGGACCCGCACAAGCGGUGGAUGAUGUGGAUUAAUUCGAUGCAACGCGAAAAACCUUACCUACCCUUGACAUGUCUGGAAUCCGAAGAGAUUUGGGAGUGCUCGCAAGAGAACGGAACACAGGUGCUGCAUGGCUGUCGUCAGCUCGUGUCGUGAGAUGUUGGGUUAAGUCCCGCAACGAGCGCAACCCUUGUCAUUAGUUGCUACGAAGGGCACUCUAAUGGACGCGGUGACAAACCGGAGGAAGGUGGGGAUGACGUCAAGUCCUCAUGGCCCUUAUAGGUAGGGCUUCACACGUCAUACAAUGGUCGGGACAGAGGGUCGCCAACCCGCGAGGAGCCAAUCCCAGAGAAACCCGAUCGUAGUCCGGAUCGCAGUCUGCAACUCGACUGCGUGAAGUCGGAAUCGCUAGUAAUCGCGGAUCAGCAUGUCGCGGUGAAUACGUUCCCGGGUCUUGUACACACCGCCCGUCACACCAUGGGAGUGGGUUUUUGCAAGUAGUUAGCCUAACCGUAAGGAGGGCGAUUACCACGGUAAGUUCAUGACUGAAGUGAAGUCGUAACAAGGUAA